CUUGAGGCCAGUAACGGAAAUCAUAGUUCUUCUGUCACAAGAGAAGACUACUUAAGACUGUGUUCCCAAUAUUCAGGAUCAGUGAUGGCACUAAGGGAUAGUGCCAGGCUAUGAAGUUUGUUGUCUGGAUCAUGUCAUCUGCAAUACAUUCCAGUUGGAGCGUUUUCAUGUGAUGGCCAUCAUAACGAUGAUAACAUCAACUGGUCACCAUAGCCACCCAGAUCCAGUCUGUAUCCAGAACAAAUGAUGGAUCAGCACCUAGAGACGACCUCUACAUCUCUGAAUGUCAGCGGAGACCACUUCAACUAGAUGAGCCCCAGAGACAGAUCCCCAAUGAAGACUUCGUCACACAGACAGCCAUCGGCAUAAGACCACGGGAACCAGAUGAGUCCUCUGCACAAUCUGACUUUCUUGCAGCCUAGAAUUAAAUUGCUGGUUUCGUCUGGCCAGAGGAAAACGACACACUAUUUCCCUGUUUAAUAUUGUAAAGUUUCAUUCCAAGAAUCAACUCUGAUGGCACCAAAUGCCACUGAGAUUCACAGAUCAGAUGGAAUUCCUGAAAGAGGGUGCAAAGAAAAAGCAUCAGCCUGAAUCCCCUCUUGGUGUUUCUCAUCAGAGAGUUUGUCAACUUUGCCAAAAUUACUGAAAUUUAACACAACAACACAAACUAAUUUUUACUGUAUUUUAUUUCUGUAAAGCCUGUUUUGCUAUGCUACAGAUUUAGUGCAUGCUAGAGAUGAAGAUUUGUCAUUUGUAUUUUUAAAAAGAAAAUGUUCAACAAUUAA